rnacentral:rRNA from 1 species
AACGAACGCUGGCGGCAGGCCUAACACAUGCAAGUCGAGCGCCCUUUCGGGGGAGCGGCGGACGGGUGAGUAACGCGUGGGAAUAUGCCCUUCUCUACGGAAUAGCCUCGGGAAACUGAGAGUAAUACCGUAUACGCCCUGUGGGGGAAAGAUUUAUCGGGGAAGGAUUAGCCCGCGUUGGAUUAGGUAGUUGGUGGGGUAAUGGCCUACCAAGCCGACGAUCCAUAGCUGGUUUGAGAGGAUGAUCAGCCACACUGGGACUGAGACACGGCCCAGACUCCUACGGGAGGCAGCAGUGGGGAAUCUUAGACAAUGGGGGCAACCCUGAUCUAGCCAUGCCGCGUGAGUGAUGAAGGCCUUAGGGUUGUAAAGCUCUUUCAGCUGGGAAGAUAAUGGCGGUACCAGCAGAAGAAGCCCCGGCUAACUCCGUG